GACGAACGCUGGCGGCGUGCUUAACACAUGCAAGUCGAACGGAAAGGCCCUGCUUUUGUGGGGUGCUCGAGUGGCGAACGGGUGAGUAACACGUGAGUUACCUGCCCUUGACUUUGGGAUAACGUCAGGAAACUGGGGCUAAUACCGGAUAGGAGCUCCUGCUGCAUGGUGGGGGUUGGAAAGUUUCGGCGGUUGGGGAUGGACUCGCGGCUUAUCAGCUUGUUGGUGGGGUAGUGGCUUACCAAGGCUUUGACGGGUAGCCGGCCUGAGAGGGUGACCGGCCACAUUGGGACUGGAAUACGGCCCGGACUCCUACGGGAGGCAGCAGUGGGGAAUAUUGCACAGUGGGCGGAAGCCUAAUGCAGCAACGCCGCGUGCGGGAUGACGGCCUUCGGUUUGUAAACCGCUUUCGCCUGUGACGAAGCGUGAGUGACGGUAAUGGGUAAAGAAGCACCGGCUAACUACGUG
rnacentral:rRNA from 1 species